rnacentral:lncRNA from 10 species
CGCAGCUGGAGUGGACAGGACGGCUUUCGAGAUUUGGCGCGGCCUUUGUCUCUGGCUGCAGUCGUAGCUCCAGGUCUUUUCUUCUCUGUUCUGUGUCUUCUGCUCCUAGAGGCCCAGCUUCUGUGUCCCUGUGACCUGUAGGUAUUGGGAGAUCCACAGCUAAGAUGCCAGGACCCCCUGGGAAGCCUAGAAAAAUGGUUCUGCCUGCAAAGAAGAUUGUGACAUAUUGCUGGUUGCAACACCACGGUGAUGUUACUUUUUGCCUUCUCACUGCCCUCAGAAGGCAUUGUGAUAUGUUGGUGGUCCCAGCUUCAAAGAAAUACUUGUCUGCAGCGCAGAUUGCUACAUAUUGCUUGGCCCAGCUCCUAUGUGAUGUGACUCUCCUGUCAUACCUGAGUGCUCCCCACUGCGAUGGGCAACAGACCAACUUCAGCUUGCAACCCUCUGGAGUGCAUUCUGUAACACUGGAACUUCUUUAACCUCCGGACUUUGAAGAAGAAAGCAACCAUUUUCUUUUGCACAAGGGCAUGACAUUUAUACUACACCUUUGCAGGUAGUGUAAGAUCAACCCAGCUUUUUAAAAAGUCAUAUCAGGCAGGCUUAUAGAAAAUGAUUCACCAGAAUUAGAAAAGCAAGUUCCAGGGAAGCCAUUUGAGAAUCCCCCUUAUUUAGAGCCAUCUCAAGUUCUCUUAUUACAAGACCUUAGCCAAAUAAAGGAAGACUUAGGCUGAUUUUCUGACAACCCCCAAUAGGUAUAUAGAAGCUUUCCAAAAUUUGACUCAGGUGUUUCACCUCACAUAGAAGGAUGUUGUGCUGCUCCUAAACCAAACCCUAACUGCAGCUGAAAAGCAGGCAGCUCUACAGGCAGCAGAGAAUUGCAGAAAUGAACAAUAUGUCGCCUAUAAUGCACCAAAAUUUAAAAAGGAGAAAGUGAAGAAAUAACAGAAACACCAUUCCCAAUAGGAAGGGAAGCAGUUCCUCUUUACAACCCUGGUUGGAACUCCAAUAGCUCUGCAGAUAAAUGGAAAAAAAAAAAAACACUUUAAUAUGCAUAUUAGAGGGUUUAUGAAUAGGGACAAAUCUCUUACUCUAAACUGUCCAUGAGGACAAAUCUCUUACUCUAAACUGUCCAUGAUAGACCAAAUGCCAGAAAAGAGUCUUGCAGCCUUUAUGAAAAGGCAGAGAGAGGCACUAAUAGAGCAUAUCUCCUUUUCUUCUGAUCCAAUCAACAAAUAGUGCAUUCUAAAGGACAGGUUUAUUACGCACGAAGCUCUCGAUAUUUUUUUUUUUUUUUUUUUUUUUGAGACGGAGUCUCGCUCUGUGGCUCAGGCUGGAGUGCAGUGGUGCGAUCUCAGCUCACUGCAAGCUCUGCCUCGGGAUUCACGCCAUUCUCCUGCCUCAGCCUCCCGAGUAGCUGGGACUACAGGCGCCCGCCACUGCACCCAGCUAAUUUUUUGUAUUUUUAGUAGAGACAGGGUUUCACCAUGGUCUCCAUCUCCUGACCUCGUGAUCCGCCCGCCUCGGCCUCCCAAAGUGCUGGGAUUACAGGCGUGAGCCACCGCGCCAGGCCAAGCUCUUGAUAUUAAAAAAGAAACUACAAAAGCAGGCUAUAGAAUCAGAUAGCACCUUAGAGAACCUCCUGAAGGUAGCCACUUCAGCCUUUUAUAAUAGGGACCAGGAGAAAACCCAAGAGAAAGCGAGGAAACUCAGGAGAAGGACAAAGGCUCUAGUAGUUGCUUUGCAAGCCUGCAAUGUCCAGGAUUUCCAAGGUUCAUCUGCUCAUUGCUAUCAGUCUGGCAAGUCAGGGUACUUUAAGAAGCAGUGCCCAAGCAUCAAGAAGAAGCCACCUCAACCCUCUGCAGGCUGUGGCAGAGACACUAGAGAGCAAACUGCCCCCAGAGAUGAGGUCACUAGAUUCAGAACCAGUCUCACAGAUCGUUUGGCAGGAAUAAUGGGUCCUAGGGACCCAACCCCCAGCUCCAGCAGCUCAAACUGCCAUUAUAGCCUAGGAUCCCAAGGUGAUUCUGGAAAUUAAAAGAAGGAAGAUAAUCAUCCUUCUAAACAAUAGAGCCAGUCUCCCUCUUUUCUGUUCUCUAAUUCAGGUCUCCCCUCUUCCUGUAGCCACUGCCAUGGUGGCUCUACUACUUAGAAAAGUCUCCAAAUUAACCCUGGAAAUUAUAAUCAUAAUUCUCUUUAAUUAUACUAGAGAAUUUAACUUACACCCCACACAACAUGACACAAUUACUGUCCUCUAGGGGGACCUCUUAGGUAACAAAUAGCCAGUAAAGCAAAAAAUACAUAAGGCAAGAUACUCAGUAGUCACUCUAAACAACGUUAUUAAAAGUGUGUCUCUCUCCCCAGCACAAACGCUCAAUUAGCUGAACUGAUAGCUCUUACAAGAGGACUUGAAUUAAACAAAGGAAAGGUAGCUAACAUUUACACAGACUAAAAGUAUGCUUUCUUGGUUCUUCAUGCUCAUGCUGCCAUUUGGAAGAAAAUACAUUUUCUUACCGCUAAUGGAUCUCUUUUAAAGUAUCACCAGAAAAUUAUUCUCCGUUUUUCUUCCAUGAAAAAUAGCAAUGAUGCAUUGUAAGGGACAUCAAAAGGGAACAGAUGAAGUAGCCGAAGGAAAUACGUUAGCUAAUCAGGCAAUUAAGUCAGCAGCAAGGAAGCCUUGAGGCAUCAACACACUUCAAGCCCCUCUAACCUGGGAAGGCUCCAUAAGAGAAAUUAAGCCUCAGUACUCCCCUGCAGAAAUAGAAUGGGCCACUUUUCGAGGGUAUAUUUUUAGACCUCAGGAUGGCUACAAUCAGAGGAUGGCAAACUCCAUUCGCCAGCCUUCAGCCAAAGGAAAAUCCUUAGAAUCUUUCACCAAGUUUUUCACUUAAGAAAGGAUAAAACUUAUCACUAUGCCCAGAGAUUGUUUUCAGAAGAGAACUUACUAAAAACAGUCAAAUAGGUUGUUAAUUCCUGUGAAGUCUGUCUUAAAAAUAAUCCACUGAACAGGUGGCUCCUUCCUCCUAAAACCCAAAAAAUAAGAAGCUAUCCAGGGGGAGGACUGGCUGAUAGACUUCACCCGCAUGCCAAAGACAAAGGGUAUCCAAUACCUUCUGUUUUGGGUAUAUACUUUUACUAACUGGGUGGAAGCAUUUCCAUGCCAUACAGAAAAGACCUCUGAGGUAAUAAAAGUGUUAAUUAAUAAAAUAACUCCAGCCAGGCGCGGUGGCUCAGGCCUGUAGUCCCAGCACUUUGGGAGGCCGAGGCGAGCGGAUCACGAGUUCAGGAGUUCGAGACCAGCCUGGCCAACAUGGUGAAACUUCGUCACUACUAAAAAUACAAAAAAAUUAGGCAUGGUGGUGCACACCUGUAAUCCUAGCUAUUCAGGAGGCUGAGGCAGGAGAAUUGCUUGAACCUGGGAGGCGGAGGUUGCAGUGAGCUGAGAUCAUGCCACUGCACUCCAGCCUGGGUGACAAAGCGAGACUCUGUUUCAGAAAAAGAUAAACAAACAAAAAAAACCCCUGCUUUGGUCUACCUAAAUACCUUCAAAGUGACAAUGGCCCCUCAUUUAAGGCAGCUGUCACAUGGGAGUCUCAAAUGUGCUAGGCACAGAAUAUGGUCUCCAUUGUGCUUAAAAAUCCCAAUUCUCAGUAAAGGUAUAGAACAAAUGAUAUUAUCAAGAGACACCUUAAAAAACUUGUCACUCUUCUUCCCAUGGCCUUACUAUGGGUAAGAAAUAUGCCUUCCAAGUUAGGUGUAACCUGGGUGCGGUGGCUCAGGCCUGUAAUCCUAGCACUUUGGGAGGCCGAGGCUGGUGGAUCACAAGGUCAGGAGAUCAAGACCAUCCUGGCUAAUACGUUGAAACCCCAUCUCUACUAAAAAUAUAAAAACAAAAUAAGCUGGGUGUGGUGGCGGGCGCCUGUAGUCCCAGUUACUAGGGAGGCUGAGGUGGGAGAAUGGCAUGAACCCAGGAGGCAGAACUUACAGUGAACCGAGAUCGCGGCACUGCACUCCAGCCUGGGAGACAGAGUGGGACUCUGUCUCAAACAAACAAACAAAAACAAAGUUAGGUCUAAGCUCUAUAAAUGGCCUUUUCUUACCAACGAUUUUUCUAUUAAAGCAGAAAACCUAAUUUGGUUAAGUAUGUAACCUCUCUAGCUCACUUCCAACAAAAAUUAACACAACUAGCAGUAGCCCAACCCUAAGAAAUAAGACCACCUUCAUUUAACCCAGGAGAUUUGCUAUCAGUAAAUCUCAUGCCUCUCUCUCUCUUUCCCUAAGCCCAAGCUGGGAAGGGCCCUACACUGUUUUUUUUCAACCCCCUCUUCCCUUGGCAAUAAAAGUUACAGGUAUUUGCUGGGCGUGGUGGCUUAUGACUGUAAUCCCAGCACUUUGGGAGGCCAAGGUGGGCGGAUCACCUGAGGCCAGGAGUUUGAGACAAGCCUGGCCAACAUGGUGAAACCUCAUCUCUACUAAAAAUACAAAAAUUAGCUGGGCUGCAUGGUAUGGGGCUGUGAUUUCAGCUACUCGGGAGGCUGAGGCAGGAGAAUCGUUUGAACCCAGGAGGCUGAGGUUGCAGUGAGCCAAGAUCGCACCACUGCACUUCAGCCUGGGCGACAGAGCAAGACUCCAUCUCAAAAAAAAAAAAAAAAAAAAAAAAAAAAAAAUUACAGAUAUCAACUCUUGGAUACACCACACUCAAGUCAAGUCCUGAAGAGCUGAGGGAGCAACCCCUUACAAGCCCAGAGGAAUGUCCUGAAUAUCAGUGUGAAGAAAUAGAAAAUCUUAAGCUGAAAAUCAUAAAAGAUAAGUAACUUAGGGCUACUCAUCUUGCUCACUACUACGUCAUUGGACACUUUUUGUCAUUUCUAUUUUUCCUCUCCAAGUUUGCCGCCAACUAUUAAAACUUCUCUUUUAACACAUAUUUACAAGAAAAUUUUAAUUAUUCAUAGGAUUGCAUUUGUAACUUCAUAGAACCCCAAAGGGAAAUUCUAUACCUUGGCAAAUAAAAUUUAUAAAUAAAAAUUACUACAUCACUCUUGUGGGAGUUGCUAAAUUCACUCUACUAUUUGUAGUAGAACUAUACACUAUGGAACUCACAGUGUGGAAUUCUAGUUGUAAAAUUCUAAUUGCCAUAAUACUUUGCCUAAUUAUCAUCUUUAUAAGAGGAAUAAUAAUUGAAUAAUUGUAGAAAAAAUUUAGUCAAGGUUGCUUUGCUUAAUUAUUAUCCCUAUAGCAGGGGUAAUAGUUACAGACAAGAAGUAAGCAUGAAAGUUAUACUAUCACUGAGCUUGACAGGACUUUUUAUUAAAGAUUGGCAAUAUGGUGCACUCCAAGCUAUGGAAAGAAGGUUAUAAAAGAGAUUUUAUAAGCAAGGCUUUUAUGGUAAAUUCUUGUCCUAAAAAGACUGGUUGUUUAAAGGAAGGAUAUUUAGGACAAGUCAGAAAGUUUAAGAAUGUUGUAAGAUAAUCUGUGGAAGUCAUGAAAGAACUUAAUAAAGGAAAGAAAUGGCCAAGAUUAACACUUAAGUUACUUUAGCCACUGAAUAAUGUAUUUCUCUUAAUCAUAUCACAAGUUAUAAAAAAUUGCCCGAACCUAAAAUUAUCUCCUGACGGCAAGCCAAGGGGAUAAAUGUAUGUGUUUCUCAAAGAAAAAUGUUACUUUUACAGUAACGUUUCUGGUAGUCUACAGCGACAUCUAGUGGACAUCUACCUGUAUUACAACUAAUUGAAAUAGUAACAGGUAUCAAACUCUGCUGUCAUAGUUAUGGCCUAUAGUACUCUCACUAAUAAUAAUAAUCUUAAUACUCAUGUUAAAACCCUAUAUUCUAAAACUUCUUGUAAAAUUUAUCUUUUUACCUAGAAAAAAACUCCAAAUGGCGCUGCAAACAGAACCACCCAUAGACAUGCCAUUCUUCCGAGAACACUUAAAUAAACCUCAGGAGGAGCCCCAGCUGUUGAUCCCCCACACGACACCCCUUUUCAGCAGGAAGUAGCCAGAAAUAUUCGUCGUCCAACACCCCCAACAGCAGUUAGAAUACUAUCUUCUGAGGGGUGAAUAACAUAGGAGUUUAAAAAAAUAUAUUUUAGGCAGUUAGCAAGGGUAAAAGAGUUCUCGGUGGAAUUUUCCUUCAAUGAAAAGCAGCCAAAAAAC